GAUGAAGAACGUAGCGAAAUGCGAUAAGUAAUGUGAAUUGCAGAAUUCCGUGAAUCAUCGAAUCCUUGAACGCACAUUGCGCCCCCUGGUAUUCCGGGGGGCAUGCCUGUCCGAGCGUCAUUGCAACCUUCAAGCGCGGCUUGUGUGUUGGGUCUCGUCCCCCGUGGACGGGCCCGAAAGGCAGUGGCGGCGUCCCGACAUGGUGCCCGAGCGUAUGGGAAUCCUCUUCCGCUCGAAUCGGCCCAUGCGGCGCUGGUCGUAACCAAAUUUUUUACCGGUUGACCUCGGAUCAGGUAGGGAUACCCGCUGAACUUAAGCAUAUCAAUAAGCGGAGGA
rnacentral:misc_RNA from 1 species